AAACAAUGGUGAGAUAUUUUCUUACAUUUUCAUCAUGCCUUAAAUUUUCUCUCUCUCUAUUAAUGGGGUUGUUUAAGGGUUGAGUGUUGGAAUCUUAUGGUGACAAGUGGGUAUUUAUUGGAAUUGGAAUUGGAGUUGACCUAAAUUUAUUGUCUCAUUUCGGAAACAAUACUUGUCUUAAACUGAGAGAUUUGUGAAGUGGGUAUUUUGAGUAAAGUAGGUGCAUUUUGGUGGAUCUGUACAAGUUUGUUGUUGGU
rnacentral:misc_RNA from 1 species